UACGGAGGGUGCAAGCGUUACUCGGAAUCACUGGGCGAAAAGGGCGCGUAGGCGGCCUGUCAAGUCGGGUGUGAAAGCCCGGGGCUCAACUGCGGGAUUGCACUCGAAACUGGCAGGCUAGAGUCCAGCAGGGGAAAGUGGAAUUCCCAGUGUAGCGGUGAAAUGCGCAGAUAUUGGGAAGAACACCGGUGGCGAAUGCGGUUUUCUGGGCUGAGACUGACGCUGAGGUGCGAAAGCUAGGGGAGCGAACAGG
rnacentral:rRNA from 1 species